AAAUUGAAGAGUUUGAUCAUGGCUCAGAUUGAACGCUGGCGGCAGGCCUAACACAUGCAAGUCGAACGGUAACAGGAAACAGCUUGCUGUUUCGCUGACGAGUGGCGGACGGGUGAGUAAUGUCUGGGAAACUGCCUGAUGGAGGGGGAUAACUACUGGAAACGGUAGCUAAUACCGCAUAACGUCGCAAGACCAAAGAGGGGGACCUUCGGGCCUCUUGCCAUCGGAUGUGCCCAGAUGGGAUUAGCUUGUUGGUGGGGUAACGGCUCACCAAGGCGACGAUCCCUAGCUGGUCUGAGAGGAUGACCAGCCACACUGGAACUGAGACACGGUCCAGACUCCUACGGGAG
rnacentral:rRNA from 1 species